rnacentral:rRNA from 1 species
AUUGAACGCUGGCGGCAGGCUUAACACAUGCAAGUCGAGCGGAGAUGAGGUGCUUGCACCUUAUCUUAGCGGCGGACGGGUGAGUAAUGCUUAGGAAUCUGCCUAUUAGUGGGGGACAACAUUCCGAAAGGAAUGCUAAUACCGCAUACGUCCUACGGGAGAAAGCAGGGGAUCUUCGGACCUUGCGCGAAGAGAUGAGCCUAAGUCGGAUUAGCUAGUUGGUGGGGUAAAGGCUUACCAAGGCGACGAUCUGUAGCGGGUCUGGGAGGAUGAUCGGCCACACUGGGACUGAGACACGGCCCAGACUCCUACCGGAGGCAGCAGGAGGGAAUAUGGGACCAUGGGGGGAACCCGAAGCCAGCCAUGCCGCGUGUGUGAAGAAGGCCUUAUGGUUGUAAAGCACAUUAAGCGAGGAGGAGGCUACUGAGACUAAUACUCUUGGAUAGUGGACGUUACUCGCAGAAUAAGCACCGGCUAACUCUGUGCCAGCCGCCGCAGUAAGAC